rnacentral:rRNA from 1 species
UGGGGAAUAUUGGACAAUGGGGGCAACCCUGAUCCAGCCAUGCCGCGUGUGUGAAGAAGGCCUUUUGGUUGUAAAGCACUUUAAGCAGUGAAGAAGACUCCAUGGUUAAUACCCAUGGACGAUGACAUUAGCUGCAGAAUAAGCACCGGCUAACUCUGUGCCAGCAGCCGCGGUAAUACAGAGGGUGCAAGCGUUAAUCGGAAUUACUGGGCGUAAAGCGAGCGUAGGUGGCUUGAUAAGUCAGAUGUGAAAGCCCCGGGCUUAACCUGGGAACGGCAUCUGAUACUGUUAGGUUAGAGUAGGUGAGAGGAAGGUAGAAUUCCAGGUGUAGCGGUGAAAUGCGUAGAGAUCUGGAGGAAUACCGAUGGCGAAGGCAGCCUUCUGGCAUCAUACUGACACUGAGGUUCGAAAGCGUGGGUAGCAAACA